GAUGUCAGCCAGCUUGACUGUAAAAAGUCGUCUUUAUGAUGCCAUAAAAAGGAACACGGACAAUAGCUAGAAUGUCAUUCGAGAGCACAAUAAAUAUUUCCCUGAAGUUCCGUGGCCCAUCAGGAAACCACAUCACACGCACUUUCAAAACCAGUGGCCCAUUUCAACUUUAUGGAAAAUGCCAGUUUUUUAUGGGAACUGAUUGGGUUUGCAAUUAACUAAAGUGCACAAUAAUCCUGUCCGCCCUGAUUGAUUUAUGGGGCAGAGAGCGUGCUUGCGAGAGUUAGGAAAGGGAUAGUGCGCAAUCAGGGUUUUAAGCACUGCCAAACGCAGUCACUUGGCUUCAGAACAAGGUCCACUGCGUGUAUUAAAGAAAGCGAACGCAGCUACGACGGUGUGGUGCCUCUGUUCCACCAGUCAGCCAGCGCUGGCUGAGCUGCGGCGUGCCAGGCGUGGUGCCGGAGGUGCAGGGCUGAGAAGACAGAGGACUGAUCCCAGGGGCUCACAGUGUACGGGCAGGCAGCAAACGUGGAGCCCGGCUUCCUCCCAGCUGCCUCGGCUCCCUGAACGAUCUCACCGUCUAUUGCAAAGAACAGAGGGAGAGAAGACGGUGCCUGUAUGCCCCACGUCCUCUGAAAUCCAAUGUCACCUGGGCAAAUGUGACCACUGGGGAAGGACCUGCUUGGGGAAGUUGAAAAGCUGAAGCCCGAGGAGGUGGUUCCUGGGGGACACAGCACCGCAGGCGUCUGCUUUGACUGGGACAGGCCACGGCCGAGCAGAGAUCGGGCACGCAGCUGUGGUCCAGGGCCCUCUCACAC
rnacentral:lncRNA from 1 species